rnacentral:rRNA from 1 species
GACAGAGGGGGCAAGCGUUGCUCGGAAUUACUGGGCGUAAAGGGCGCGUAGGCGGGAUGGCAAGUCGGUCGUGACAUCCCUCGGCUCAACCGAGGAACGUCGAUCGAUACUGCUGUUCUUGAGGAUUGCAGAGGAGACUGGAAUUCCCGGUGUAGCGGUGAAAUGUGUAGAGAUCGGGAGGAACACCGGUGGCGAAGGCGGGUCUCUGGGCCGAUACUGACGCUGAGGAGCGAAAGCGUGGGGAGCGAACAGG